AGAAAUGUCACCAGGUUCAGAAAUAUUGGACAGAUUUGUCGGUACAUGGCCGGUAUUAGUUGGUGGAGCGAUUUGACAAGUUAUUGCAGAUAACAAAGAGACUCUGUAAUGCUGAAUAGUUUCAGCUUUUCUUUUGAACCGACAAUUCUUGUUAGAGGGACUGGCAACUCUUAGUCACACGAGAUUGUGUAAUAA
rnacentral:rRNA from 1 species